UACGUAUGGUGCAAGCGUUAUCCGGAUUUACUGGGUGUAAAGGGAGCGCAGGCGGCACGGCAAGCCUGAUGUGAAAGCCCGCGGCCCAACCGCGGGACUGCAUUGGGAACUACCGGGCUGGAGUGCCGGAGAGGUAGGCGGAAUUCCUAGUGUAGCGGUGAAAUGCGUAGAUAUAUGGAAGAACACCAGUGGCGAAAGCGGCUCUCUGGUCUGUAACUGACGCUGAGGUUCGAAAGCGUGGGUAGCAAACAGG
rnacentral:rRNA from 1 species